UAGAGUGGAGCGGUGCUGACCAGACCGGAGGAGUCGUAGCUCUUCUCUGCUUGCAGUCUUCCAGAGUGGAGUAAAGAAUGACUGUUGAACAUCCACAAGGCGCCUGCAAGGUAGCUUGUCGUUUCCCCUUGUUUCCUGAAAUCCUCUUUUCUAUGUCAGGAUAUGACUUGCUUUCCUUUUCUUGAAAAUUCUUGCCUGUCAGGUGACCUGAUCUAUGGAAUUUUUCCUUUGAGAAAUGUGAUUUGCUCCAAAACCCAACCCACACACGUGACUUUCUCUUCCUAAUUUGACAAAUGGUUUAAUUUUUCUUUAUGCCCUCUUAAAAAAAUAUUUCUUUUUUUAUUAUAAAAGUGAAAUUAUCUUAAAUAAUUUCAAAAGUACAGCAAUUCCCAAUGAAGAAAAUUUAAAUUCCCGGUUAAAACCAAUGCUAACUUUUUGAUAAUUUCUUCCCAGUAUGUUUUAUGUACAUAUAUAAAGUGUGAUAUUUAAAAAUUGAUUUUAUUCAGCAUUUACUGUUUUAUAGCCUAUAUUUUCACAUAAAAUUAUAUUUAAGUAUUUCCCCACAUAAUUUAAUAUUGGAAACACUUUUAGAGGUGCAUAAUUAUUUAAAUGCCUAUGUCUUUUCUUUUCUUUCAAAUUAGAUACAGAAAUGGCAUUUAACACCCAUUUGUGCAAAUAAUUAUAAAGAUCGAUGUAAGGAAUACCCAGGCCAAGAAAAAGAAUACAGCCAUCUCUAAAGCAGCCUCUGAUGUACCACUCCACAAUCACAAACAAUUAUGCUCUUCUGGUGAUAACCACUGUGAUCAUUUCUUUGUCUUUCAUUAGAGCUUUGAUAUGAAUUCCAAAACCACAUAGAUUUAGUUUUUGUCUGUUUUCUAUCUUUGUAUGAACAGACAUUCUUUUGUCUUUUUUCAUGAAAAACGUUUGUGAGCUUCAUUCAUAUUUCCUAUAACCACAGUUCAUUUUUUUCCAUUGCUCUCUAUAUACUAUCUUGUAUAAUAGUAUCAAUUUAUUACUUAUCUAUUCUACUCUUCAUGGAUAUUUGACUUGCUUCUAGUUUUUGGCUGCUAUAAGCAAUGUGACUACAAAUGUUUUGUGCACAUAUUUUGGUACACAUGUGCUUGUAUUUCUUUAAUAUAUAUACUAAAGUUGUAAUUAAAUUGUUGAGGGAUAGGGUUUGCGCAUCUUCAAUUUUACUAGACAGUGCUGGACUGUUCUCUAAAUAUACUAUGCAAGU